GAUGAACGCUGGCGGCGUGCUUAACACAUGCAAGUCGAACGGAAAGGCCCAAGCUUGCUUGGGUACUCGAGUGGCGAACGGGUGAGUAACACGUGGGUGAUCUGCCCUGCACUUCGGGAUAAGCCUGGGAAACUGGGUCUAAUACCGGAUAGGACGAUGGGUUGGAUGGCAUUGUGGAAAGAUUUUUCGGUGUGGGGUGUGCUCGCGGCCUAUCAGCUUGUGGGGGGGGGGAUGGCGUACCCAGGCGUCGACGGGUAGCCGGCCUGUGAGGGUGUACGGCGCCAUUGUGGCUGAGAUACGGCCCAGACUCCUACGCGGGGCAGCAGUGGGGAAUAUUGUGCAAUGUGCGCGAGCCUGAUGCAGCGACGCGGCGUGGGGGAUGUCGGGCUCCGGGUUGUAUACUCCUUUCGCGCGUGAGGAGGCGUUUUUGUGACGGUACCUGGUGAAGAAGCACCGGCUAACUACGUG
rnacentral:rRNA from 1 species